UGAGCAAUCUGCCCUUCACAUCGGAAUAACCAUUGGAAACGAUGGCUAAUACCGAAUAUGACUUCGGAUCGCAUGAUCUGAAGUGGAAAGCCCCGGCGGUGAAGGAUGAGCUCGCGGCCUAUCAGCUUGUUGGUGAGGUAAUAGCUCACCAAGGCGAUGACGGGUAGCCGGCCUGAGAGGGUGACCGGCCACACGUGGGACUGAGACACGGCCCAGACCUCCG
rnacentral:rRNA from 1 species